AAGCUUUGAUCCUUUUUGAGACUGAGAACACACAUACACAGAAGCUGGUAUUUGGCAAAUUAUGGUGAAUUGUAAUUACUGCUGUGACUCUUAGCGUGAAGUUAGAGGAAAAGGAUACUUUGAUAAACAGGAGGCAAGAUUUUUUUUUAAAAAGCAACCUGUAAUUCUAUUAUUAAAUAAAAAGGGGGAAAAUCAUUGCUAUGAAUAAAGGAAAGCUAAUGAUGGCAAUUUAUUCUCAGAACAGGAGUUUCAAAACAUCCUCUGGGUUCGAUUGAAGAAACUUAAGAUGGACGCAAGUGGAGGCCAAGCUCGUCACUUACUCAGUACUGCUUCCGUUAGCACCUGAUGCUGAGUUUUGAACCUGUCUAGCACUCUUUGUGAUACAGAGCACAGAAGCUUUGUUCUCUACCUGGCCUUCCAUCCCUUCUACCACCAGCGGCUGGUUUUCUGAUGGACCUGAGUUUGCCUUCUGAAGUCCAGAUGCUGAUUCCGCUUAUUAUUUGUGUCACCUUGUGGAGGUUAUUUAAAAAUUCUUGCUCAACUUCUUCAUCUGAAAGUAUAAAUAUAAUUAGAACUACACAAUACCAAGUAGAAUAUUUUCUGUCAACCAUCCAUCUAUUUGCAUCGGUCAUCUCACUGAUCUGCCCCAUGGUAACAUACAGCACAAUCUACAAUAGCAGACAUGGAAAUAAUCCAGAUGCAUGUCCGAAGAGAAGUGGUUAAAGAAAACGUGGUACAUCUACUCCAUGGAAUAUUACUCAGCAUUAAAAAGAAUGAAAUUAUACCAUUUGCAACUGGAUAUUCCCAACUACAGGCCAUUAUGAAAUAAUUCAAUCCAAGAAGGACAAAAACCAUAUGUGUCUGUAAUAUAAGGAAGCCGUCCUGCAAAAUGUUCAUAUUCGUAAAGACUGUGAAGUUUGAAACAUUAAGGUGAAAGGAAAAAGACUACACCAUUAGCUGCACACUACAGAAGCACGUGAGAAUACCAGUAUCCUCUGAACACAUCAGAUGUCAAAGUUUAAAACAUCUUUUCCUUUGCUUCGGAUGGAUAUAUGUGACAUUGUUAAAGAUUGUUCUAGGAAAAAAAAAUCCUGAUGAACCUGAAAGCACCGUGAAGGUAGACUCUGAAGAAGAAGCCAGAUCUAAUUAAAAACUUCCUUUGAAAUGCUGGUUUCUACCUUGGUGAUGAAACACUUGCUACUUAAUUUACAGGUUGUGUAAUCGCAUCCCCAAUGUCACAAGCCUUACACAUUUAAGCACUUCUCUGAAAAUUCAUGCACACUUAAACUGCAUAGGACUUCAUUUGCUUAGAUUUCUUUUUCCCGUGUCUUUUCUCUUUGCGC